rnacentral:sRNA from 1 species
ACAUGGUUAGUUAGGUCUGUCUGCACUACAAAGCCAAUAACAAUCCGAAGAAUGUACAGAUCAAACAAUUUUGAUGAUUUGCUAGGUUGGUGACAACGAUGGCAGCUCCCGGGCCCGAUUCCGCGGUCCAGGGGACGGAAUCGGGUGGAGCUAAUAUCAUAGUUGAUAAUAGCGUCCCCUAGUUAGUUGCCAGUUGCGAUUGAGCUCAGCCUUCUGCGAAUUCAGUUUGAUGUUAUCCGUGUGAAAAGCGAUUCGGCGAAAGGUUUUUUUUUUUUUAAAAAAAAAAAAAACCUCAUUACGAGAGGCAC